rnacentral:rRNA from 1 species
AACGGCCAUACCAUGUUGAAAACACCGGUUCUCUUCUGAUCACUGAAGUUAACAAACAUUGUGUAUGGUUAGUAAUUGGAUGGGUGACCGCUUGAGAACACCACGUGCUGUUG